CUAAAGGUUCAACUUUGGGGAACAUUAUGCGACUCCAUUGAAGAAGGAGUCAAUCUCAAGAAAACUGGAAAACCCGCUUUUGUUAUACUAACGUCAAUGAUGACAAACAACUGGAAUGGUAAAUUUUAAAUAAAAUUUACAAAUAAAAAAUUAUUAAGAACAAUAUUAUAUAUUUAAUUUAAUUGUUUUUGUCAGAUUGCUAUGCACAAAGUUCAUUUGGAACAAGGUUAUUGAUCAACGAGGAAGAUGAAACAAUCAACAAAAUUGCAGAACUAAUGGUUGAUAUUCCAGAUGAAAUUUUCGAUGACCAGAGGACAAUAACCGAGCUAAGGAAGAUAGCCCAAGGAAAUAAACCAAAGGUUUGA
rnacentral:lncRNA from 1 species